UGAGGAAUAUUGGUCAAUGGGCACAAGCCUGAACCAGCCACCCCGCGUGCAGGCAGACGGCGCUAUGCGUUGUAAACUGCUUUUCCAGGGGGAGAAACUUGCGCACGUGUUGCGCAAUUGACGGUACCCUGGGAAUAAGCAUCGGCUAACUCCGUGCCAGCAGCCGCGGUAAUACGGAGGAUGCGAGCGUUAUCCGGAUUCAUUGGGUUUAAAGGGUGCGUAGGUGGACUAUUAAGUCAGUGGUGAAAUCCUGCAGCUUAACUGCAGAACUGCCAUUGAUACUGAUAGCCUUGAGUUUGGUUAAGGUAGGCGGAAUGUGUAAUGUAGCGGUGAAAUGCUUAGAUAUUACACAGAACACCAAUUGCGUAGGCAGCUUACUGAGCCGACACUGACGCUGAGGCACGAAAGCGUGGGGAUCGAACAG
rnacentral:rRNA from 1 species